ensembl:lncRNA
ACCAAGUCUAAACCGGGUCUAAACCAGGACUAAACCAGGUCUAAACCAGGUCUAAACCAGGACUAAACCAGGUCUAAACCAGGUCUAAACCAGGUCUAAACCGGGUCUAAACCAGGUCUAAACCAGGACUAAACCGGGUCUAAACCGGGUCUAAACCAGGACUAAACCGGGUCUAAACCAGGUCUAAACCGGGUCUAAACCGGGUCUAAACCAGGUCUAAACCAGGACUAAACCGGGUCUAAACCAGGACUACACCGGGUCUAAACCAGGACUAAACCAGGACUAAACCAGGUCUAAACCAGGACUAAACCAGGACUAAACCGGGUCUAAACCAGGACUAAACCAGGACUAAACCAGGUCUAAACCAAGUCUAAACCAGGUCUAAACCAGGACUAAACCAGGUCUAAAC